rnacentral:tRNA from 1 species
GGGCCCUUAGCUCAGUCUGGUUAGAGCGCUCGGCUCAUAACGUGAUCGUCCGACGUGGUGUGGCGAUCGUGUGAGACACCGAGUGGUCGAUGGUUCGAAUCCGUCAGGGCCCA